UUGUUGGCCUCCGUCUAGUUGCAAGGUACAGGCAGCCUUCCUCUUUUUCUCAGCACACCGAACUCCUGCUGCACAAACCACGCUAUUCGGAGCUGCGGAUGAGCAUAACAACUACGUCUGGUCACAAAACCGGGAUGAAGUCCAUGAGAUAAGCAUUUCUGAUCAAUAGGAACUGUCUGUAAAGCAAUCAGUCUGCAUUACUUUGCAAUACUUUACACUGCAAUGCUUUGCUCUCGGACAAUGCGUUCAAUCAGUGAUCUCAGAAUGGAAACACACCUUCCUGUUCCUCAUGGCCCGGAAGUGGUGGAAACCCCAAAACGAAAGAAAGAAACAAGCUCCCCCGACCAAAUCCAACUGGGGCUUUGAGUCACAAGAAGAGGACUUGCAGAAGGAUUCAGGGAGUUCACAAAGGACUUCUUGACUGCUAUUGACUUUACAUGGAAGGCAUCCAGACAGGACUAUGCUUCAGUUUUAAGGUGCUGCACAAAAGGCUGUAUGCAUUCAGCUCCGAGACCGUGCAUUUGACAGAUCUGGAUUAAAGGGAGCGUAACGCUGGGUGUGAUGUGCUGGAGCCCAUGGUGCUUGGGAUGUGUACGGAGGAUUCAGGAGGCACCCCAGGAGCCAGCUCUGUCCUAGCAGGCUCCUUUUGAAGCCUCGUGCAAAGAAAUGGAUAGACUUCAGCCAUCAAUAAUAUCGCUGGAGGAGAAAAUUGAAGGGAUAUCUGCCCAAUUAAAUAACCUACAGGGCUGGAAUUGAGAAUCAAUGUGGCAUGAACGAUGAGGUACGGACUACCGACGCUGAACACUAAAUCCACCACAGCCUCUGAUUUAACAAAGAGAGAGGGAUGGGGAGGAAUACUGCAGCCGUGAUUUCCCAGGCUGCGCACAUCGGCCUUGGCAUGGCCACUGCGAGAGCCGGGAGGUGGCCAGCGAACGGCUCGGCAUCGCUGUCCCGUGGGCUGGGACACAGCGAAGGCACGA